CCUACGGGAGGCUGCAGUGAGGAAUAUUGGUCAAUGGGCGCGAGCCUGAACCAGCCAAGUAGCGUGAAGGAUGACUGCCCUACGGGUUGUAAACUUCUUUUAUAAAGGAAUAAAGUGAGGCACGUGUGCCUUUUUGUAUGUACUUUAUGAAUAAGGAUCGGCUAACACCGUGCCAGCAGCCUCGGUAAUACGGAGGAUACGAGCGUUAUCCGGAUUUAUUGGGUUUAAAGGGAGCGUAGAUGGGUUGUUAAGUCAGUUGUGAAAGUUUGCGACUCAACCGUAAAAUUGCAAUUGAUACUGGCAGCCUUGAGUACAGUUGAGGUAGGCGGAAUUCGUGGUGUAGCGGUGAAAUGCUUAGAUAUCACGAAGAACUCCGAUUGCGAAGGCAGCUUACGAAACUGCCACUGACAUUGAUGCUCGAAAGUGUGGGUAUCAAACAGGAUUAGAUACCCGGGUAGUC
rnacentral:rRNA from 1 species